rnacentral:rRNA from 1 species
UACGUAGGGGGCGAGCGUUGUCCGGAGUUACUGGGCGUAAAGGGCGUGUAGGCGGUUGAAUAAGUCCGGUGUGAAAUUCCGAAGCUCAACUUCGGAACUGCGCUGGAUACUGUUUGACUGGAGUUUGGCAGGGGUAACUGGAAUUCCUGGUGUAACGGUGAAAUGUGUAGAUAUCAGGAGGAACACCUGUGGCGAAGGCGGGUUACUGGGCCACAACUGACGCUGAGACGCGAAAGCGUGGGUAGCAAACAGGAUUAGAUACCCGUGUAGUCC